rnacentral:lncRNA from 1 species
GAAGCCGCAGGCAAGAUAUUCCUGUUUCCUUGCAAGGAAACAGAUCUAUAAGCAGGGCAGCAGUGUCACACAUGUACAUUCCUGGGAAACCCAAGGAAACAGUGGUAGUGACGCAGGGCAGGCGAGCCCCAAAACUGGUUCAUAACCUGGGAAAAUUCUUCCAGACUGCAGUUUCCGUGGCUUUGCCAAGGAAAGAAUUCAAGGGCAAGUCGCUGGCGAGAGAAAGCAACUUUUAUUGAACUGGUGCUGCUUCUUGCAGAGCAGGGCUAAUCCACAGGCAAUGUGUCCAGAGUUGGUGCCUGUGGGCUGCUAGUUAGUUGUAUUUAGACCCACUUUUAAUUACAUGCCAAUGAAGAGGUAGGUUAUUUAGAACUUUCUGGAAAAGGGGCAGGGAGUUUCCAGAACCAUAUAAAGUAACUUUCAGGUCAUUGCCAAGGUGUGUUGCUAUGACAUUUGUAAACUGGCCACGUCCCAGUGGUAGUGUCUUUAUGCUCAUAAGCAGUGAGGGCAACUAGAGGUCACUUUCAUCAUCAUCUGCUGGUUCCAGAGGUUUCUUCACUGCGCCCUGUUUUGACCAGAUCCUGCUCUGUUCAAUGGGGUUGUGACUGGAUAAUAAGUCCUACUGGUCUCCCACCUCAUUUCCCCAUCAGAGAUUCUAUACUCCUGCUUAAUCUUAAGGGGCUUGCAGAAGGGUGGAGGUUCAUCUUCUGUAACUGCUUCCUGCUGAUGUUAUGGGCAUAGACCCUGCCUAGCAUUGGAGAAGUAAAAUCUCUGGAUACCUGUUCUAAAAGGCCCAAAGGCAGGAUGUCUUUAUUUUCUGGGUCAGAAUACGGGAUGGGUUGGAAGCCUUGUGCCAGCAUCAUCUUUACAUGGAAUUAUUGUAAUCUAGAAGACACAAACUUUACAAGGAGGUUAAACAAGCAAGGACCAAAGAUUAGUAAUAACAAGAUAUCUGUUAAAGGUCCUAGGAAGGGUAAAAACCAAGUGCCUGCUGGUAGAGAUUCAUUUAUUGAAUUCCAUCAGCAGGGCA